UACGUAGGUGGCAAGCGUUGUCCGGAAUUAUUGGGCGUAAAGCGCGCGCAGGCGGUCCUUUAAGUCUGAUGUGAAAGCCCACGGCUCAACCGUGGAGGGUCAUUGGAAACUGGAGGACUUGAGUACAGAAGAGGAAAGCGGAAUUCCACGUGUAGCGGUGAAAUGCGUAGAGAUGUGGAGGAACACCAGUGGCGAAGGCAGCCACCUGGGCCGAUACUGACGCUCAGGCACGAAAGCGUGGGGAGCAAACAGG
rnacentral:rRNA from 1 species